UGUUGGAACUGGGGGAGUCGGUGUACCGGCUGAGAGGAGACUUUAAGUCUCGACCCCUGGAACCUGAUCCGGAUCAUGCCGGCGCAGGGAAGUUUACCUCAUACGUC
rnacentral:ncRNA from 2 species